GUCCUCGCCAAGCCGCCGCUCACCAGCGUGGCUCGGCCUUCGGAGUCCUUGACGCAUUCACACUGUUGUCCUGCUGCGCAAGUGUCACAGUUGUCGGUGUCAGUCCCCCGCCCUGGUGCUUGUCCUUCUGCAGUGGAGCUGUGUUUAGCUGCAGGCCGACGUCUAUCAGUCUCGGGGACCUGUACCAUCUUCUGCAUAGUUCCUGACACCUUAGACCCCAACUGUGUUGCAGAUCUGGAUGACAAAUCCUGAUUUUGAGAUGCAGCUUUCCUCAGAUCAGACAGAUUUGUACGAGUUGCAUCCACUAGAGAAUGUAUCCGUGGUUCACGUGUGUUGCUGUUUUUCAGGUAUGUCAAAACAUGAGACACUUGAGAUGUUCCAUUUGUUUUUGUGUCAUCAUUAGGUGGGAUCGCAGCCCUUUCCUGCCUCGAUUGCCCUUGUAGGUCUUGCCUGUUUCUGGUCCUUGGGGUGGGACCUUUCUCGGCCUCGAUCCCUCCUUUAAACCAUGAUGAGAUUAUCUGCUCACAGCAUUGCCUCACAGUCUCCUGCGGAUUUGCAUAAACAGAUGCUUACAAACAUCUCCCUGAGGUAAAGAAAAAAAAAAGGUUAGACUCAAACCUUGGUCUUUGUAUGACGUCCCUCUCGACGUGUGUGUUCAUGUUGCUCUGUAGCGCGUGUCAACAGGAAGUUGUAGUUGCCACUGAUGUGACUACUCGAGGUCGUCGUGCUCUGCAGCCAAUGGCAAACAUCUGAAGAAGCCGCAGUGGAAAGUUCCAACGUUCUCCCCCAAGACACCAAGGCUACAGGCUGAAUACACACAUAAUACAGAAUUGUUCUUCCAUGAAUUGCAAACUCUAACCUUGGAUCACCUCUUACCAUGGAUUUGCUGAGCUGUGGGUGAGGAGUGAUGAUGUAGUCGAGAAGACAUGAGCGGGCAAGGAUGGACACCAACGGACGCUCGCUGAAGGCUGCGCAGGGAUGGUAGAGCAAUAUGGCAGCUCCUUGCUGCAUAACAGCUGGAUUAAAAGUGGGUCGAUUGGUCAUGCCUGGUAUGCAGGUGAGAAAGAUGUCAAGCAUGCAAAGGUACAGAUUGAAGAGCUGCUGUAUCCAUGGUUACCUGAGUGGAGUUUAACCAAGCAGCGGGAGCAGGACAGCUCCAGUCGAUGGCAUCUGCAGGUAGAUCCCUUUCCACAAGCAACUAUACAAACAUCAAAUAUGAGAUGUCAAUCGGUGCAACAAGCAUCAUCUUUGGAAAAUAUAAUAACAAAACAAAUCUGAACCUUUCCAUUAUCACAAUCUGGCCUCAGAUAAUCGCAGAAGACGUGUCGGCCAAAACAGAACCACAGUGCGGCCAGCACGGACAUCGUGUGGCUCGGCAUGCUGAGUCGUAAGUCAUCAGGGUGCAAGAAAGAACGCCAUGAAGUCAGGCUACUGCAGCUAUGAAAAUAAAAUGAAAGCAAGUUUUGGAACCUCGAAACACAUGCAAAAGAUUGGUGCAAUUAAACAGACAAACAAAAAAAUCAAUGUACCGUGCUGAUCUCGUCAACUCUAUUUAUCUGUUUCAGGCGGUGGGCGACAUUCUUCUACUUUGUAAGCCAUACAAAGAGAAGUAUUUUGAAUGACAGCGUCACCAAUUCCGAAAAAAAAAAUCACGAUUGCAAAGUCAAAACGGAAGUACGAUUAUCCUUUCAACGUAAAAUACAAUGCUCCUAAACUAUAUAUAUUUUAACAUUAUUAUGCAUGAUAUUAAUGUUUUAUGAAACUAAAAUUAGUUAGCACAAUGUUCAAGUACAUUUGAUGGAAUCAAUCGAAUUCCUGUUUUAUGAUUAUCAUAUUUGCUUUUUACUCUGAAAAUAUGCUUGCAAUUUUGGAGUCUCCGUUGUUGAUCUUGACAACUCCGUCUUUUUUUCAUUUGUUAUUACAUAUUUACAUCCGUUUACUUGGCUCCUCAUGCAUCAUUUAUAACCCGUAGAAAUUACGUCAUUUUCUUGAUAUACUUCAUCUUUGAGACGCUCUUGCAAUUAAUAAAAUAACACAAGCCCCAUAAAUGUCGCAUAUGUUUUAUGGGAUCGUUUUGGAGCCACUUUAAGAUUUUGAUCGUUUGUAUACGAAUAAAUAAACAUAUAAUUAUAUUUCAUCCAACUUUCGUGCAGGAACUGCAUUUCCAGAUUUGAUGCAGAACUUGAAACAUCCGCUACGAGGCGCAACAACAUCAGUUUGUGAGCUUUGUUUGAGACCACCGGAUCCUCCAAACUAGUCCAAGACUUGCGUGUUUAUCUCCUCAAAUGAGUAAUGUUGUGCUUGAAUAGUUAAGAAACCAAUCUGUAUUGUUUUGUCAACUGAAUAGGUGGCAUUUCCUGUUGCAGACAGCUAUAAUCUUGUCACUACGACUACGGGUAGUGGAACAAGCAUUACCUGUUGGCACAGGAAAUACAGUCACGAGUAUAUAUGGUAUUAUCCGUGGUAUAUUAACUUUCUUGAUAAUUAAACAAUAAUAAUUGGUCAAAUGUUGAUUUAUUUUGAA